AUAUUAAUCUCCUGGGGAUUUUGUUAAAAUACAAAUUCUGAUCCAGAAGACCUGGGAUAGGGCCAGAGAAUUUGCAUUUCUAACUAGCUCUCAGGUGAUCCAAGG
rnacentral:pre_miRNA from 1 species